rnacentral:rRNA from 1 species
CCUACGGGUGGCUGCAGUGGGGAAUAUUGCACAAUGGGCGCAAGCCUGAUGCAGCCAUGCCGCGUGUGUGAAGAAGGCCUUCGGGUUGUAAAGCACUUUCAGCGGGGAGGAAGGCGGUGAGGUUAAUAACCUCAUCGAUUGACGUUACCCGCAGAAGAAGCACCGGCUAACUCCGUGCCAGCAGCCGCGGUAAUACGGAGGGUGCAAGCGUUAAUCGGAAUUACUGGGCGUAAAGCGCACGCAGGCGGUCUGUCAAGUCGGAUGUGAAAUCCCCGGGCUCAACCUGGGAACUGCAUUCGAAACUGGCAGGCUAGAGUCUUGUAGAGGGGGGUAGAAUUCCAGGUGUAGCGGUGAGAUGCGUAGAGAUCUGGAGGAAUACCGGUGGCGAAGGCGGCCCCCUGGACAAAGACUGACGCUCAGGUGCGAAAGCGUGGGGAGCAAACAGGAUUAGAUACCCCGGUAGUC